rfam:Soboliphyme baturini genome assembly, scaffold: SBAD_scaffold0001026
CCAACGGCCCUUUUCAGGGCCACCCUAUCAAGAUGCGCUACUUUG